AUACGGAGGGUGCGAGCGUUGUUCGGAAUUAUUGGGCGUAAAGAGCAUGUAGGCGGUCUGUUAAGUCUGGUGUGAAAGCCCGGGGCUCAACCCCGGAAGUGCAUUGGAUACUGGCAGACUUGAGUAUGGGAGAGGAAAGCGGAAUUCCGAGUGUAGGAGUGAAAUCCGUAGAUAUUAGGAGGAACACCAGUGGCGAAGGCGGCUUUCUGGACCAAUACUGACGCUGAGAUGCGAAAGCGUGGGGAGCAAACAGGAUUAGAAACCCCGGUAGUCC
rnacentral:rRNA from 1 species